rnacentral:rRNA from 1 species
AAGCGUGGGGAGCGAACAGGAUUAGAUACCCUGGUAGUCCACGCCGUAAACGAUUAAUGCUAAGUUGUUAGGGGGUUUUCCCCCCUUAGUGCUGCAGCUAACGCAUUAAGCACUCCGCCUGGGGAGUACGGUCGCAAGACUGAAACUCAAAGGAAUUGACGGGGGCCCGCACAAGCGGUGGAGCAUGUGGUUUAAUUCGAAGCAACGCGAAGAACCUUACCAGGUCUUGACAUCCUCUGACAAUCCUAGAGAUAGGACGUCCCCUUCGGGGGCAGAGUGACAGGUGGUGCAUGGUUGUCGUCAGCUCGUGUCGUGAGAUGUUGGGUUAAGUCCCGCAACGAGCGCAACCCUUGAUCUUAGUUGCCAGCAUUCAGUUGGGCACUCUAAGGUGACUGCCGGUGACAAACCGG